UACGUAGGGGGCUAGCGUUGUCCGGAAUCAUUGGGCGUAAAGCGCGCGUAGGCGGCCCGGUAAGUCCGUUGUGAAAGUCAAAGGCUCAACCUUUGAAAGCCGAUGGAUACUGCCGGGCUAGAGUCCGGAAGAGGCGAGUGGAAUUCCUGGUGUAGCGGUGAAAUGCGUAGAGAUCAGGAAGAACACCGGUGGCGAAGGCGCUCUGCUAGGCCGUAACUGACACUGAGGGACGAAAGCUAGGGGAGCGAAUGGG
rnacentral:rRNA from 1 species